GUUUGCACUUGUCGGGGAAGGGUGAGAACCUUCGAUUAAGGUUCGACUCGAGCGAAAGCGAGAGAACGUUGCCAACGGCAACGGCCCGAAGGGUGAGGAGCGAAGCGACGAAUAAUCCUUC
rnacentral:sRNA from 1 species